AGAAUGCUGGCUCAAUUUGUCAUAAAAUCUGAAAAACUUCCCAGACUUCCUCAGUCAUAAAUAGUCUUUUUGAAGCAUUUUGUCUUUACUUCUCUUUAUGGUUCUUCACAGUAAUCGCAUAGAAGUGUGUCUUCCUUCAUACACAUCUAGACUAGCCUCUUUUGUCUACAAAGAUAAGGAAGUCACUCAGGUGAUCAUAAAUCUUGUGGGUUUCUGUUUGCUUAUUAGUUUUUCCAUAAGGGCAAAAGUACACAUAUGUCUCACAAGAAGUGAGACACAGCCUUAUAACUGAGCUUGCCAGAUGGAAAGCAAAUUGGAAAACUAAAGGAACCCAUGCAGCUUGUGGGUAUAGCAAUCAUCUUCACUGACCUUCCAAACCUAACAUCAUAUAGACCCUGCAGGAAGGAAGCACAGCUCUUUCAUCUUUGCAUGGUAGCAAGUGUAGUGCCUCAAAUCGAAGCAUUGAGUGCCUGUUGUACAGAAGGAUGGAGGUUUGCCUGGGCCGUAGAAUGAGUAUUUUUCUUACAGGAAGAUCCCAUUCCAACAGCAGACUGAGUGAACUUGAUUACCCAUAUAUUAAUAAUUUAUUUUUUUCCUCUUGGUUCUUCUCUCCACAGCCAAAAUUUUCCCAUUCAAACUGUCAUUAUGCACUAUGACGAUGCUUGGUUUCCAGACUGUCAUACUCCAAUUUCCAUCUCACUCUCUGUGAAUAUCAAAGGAAGACAGACAGACUUUCUGAAAGAUAACUUUUGCGGACUUUGUAUUAUUUCAGUAGCUGUCUUGGAAAAGCUGAUCUGGAGUUCCUAGCCUCAAGUGAUCCUCCUGCAUCAGCCUCCUGAGUAGCUGGGAUUCUAUGCUCAAGCCACCACUCCCCGCAGGAGAUAUCUGUUUGAACUGCUUUUCUCAAGAUGCUGGUGAAAAGGCCGAGAAACCAGACACUAAGAAGAAGAAACCUGAAGCAAACAAAGAUGUUCCCAGUGACAAGGAGAAGAAAAAUAACCCCAGAGCCAAAUGCCCAAUAAAGGAAAGCCGCACUGCAGCUGCAACACUGUCUUGGAAGGAUCAACAGAUAUUCCUGAUUCGAAGAGUGCCCUCUGCAAGUAGAAGUGUUCAGCAGCUAAAUCCAGGAUUGAAAGAAGAAAGGAGAUGGUUCUUGCCACUUUCACAAAGCCGGUUUGUGGUAACAAGAAUGGUGAUCUCCCCAGUGUGUAACUUGGCCAUAUGCCUACUUACUAUCCUACUAAAGAUGUAUCUCAAAAGCCAUUGAGCCAUUGCAAGAAACCAUUUCAUCAGCAUGUGAGAAAACAGAGAUUGUGUUGCUUCCAGGUCCCCUCUGUUUUCCCUCAUUUGUCACCACAGAAGCCAAACGAUAGCUUUCCUGAGGCAACUGAGCCACUUGUUCACUGUGAUUGAACCUCUGGCCCUCAACUGAGUUUCUCUGUGUUUGAGCACAACAGAAAUUUGCCAUUGCUACCUAUGCCAAAAUCAGUGUGAAAAUCCCAAUGUUUCUCAAUGAUGCCUACUUGAAGAAAGAGCUGCAUAAAGCCAGAGAACAAGAAGGUGAGAGCUCUGACAUAGAGAAAGGGAAAUUAAAGGUUACGCAGCAGUGCAAGAUCAAUCCGAAUAUGCUAGGCUCUCAACUGACGCCAAAACUCAAAGCUGUUCCCUGGUUCCAUGGCUGUCCGUGUUCCACAUUCUUUCUCACAAAUGGAGAUUAUUCUUACAAACUGGUGCUCAAAAUUUCUAACAAAGAACUCAAAUUAAAACAAAUGAAACAUUUUUUAAAAGCACAGUAAUCCUUCAUUAUCUGUUAGUUUCAAUUUGCAUUUAGAAUCAAACUUGUCAAUGACAAAAAUGUUAACUAAUUUUAAAAGAAAAGAUUUUGAAAAAUUGGCUAUUGUGAAUAUUUUAUUUUUGGUUAAAUGUAAAUUUGCUGUAUGUACCAGAAUCUCAGGAAAAAAA
ensembl:lncRNA